UCUGAUGCCACAAGUAAAAAAAAAGACAAUAAUCCUAUAAUACCAUCAGGAAAUAAAGAAGAGUCUAGCAAUCCAAAUCCAAACUUUAUUGAUAGCUAUACUAAAAAACCACGAYUAAAAUAUCAUCGGAAACCUCAUAGGACUAAUUCUGAUACCACAAAUAAAAAAAAUGAYAAUGAUACUGUAAUACCAUCAGCAAAUAAAGAAGACUCUAGCAAUCCAAAUCCAAACUUUAUUGGUAGCUAUACUAAGAAACCACGACUAAAACCUCAUCGGCAUCGUCCGCAUCCUGAUGAAUCACGUAGGGAAAGUGAAAAAAAUAACAAAGUUUACAACACUAACAAUACUGAUAAUGAUAGUCAAUCUUCUCUUAACACGACUGAUACACCGAAUAAACAAAGUGUCAAUAAUUCUAAUAAAACACUAAUCAACGUUAAAAGCAACAGAGAUGACAAUGACAGUGAAGAAAAAUUACCAUAUGAUCGACCACGACAUCCUUACCAUMCGCCCGACAAAUCAAGUGAGGAAAAUGAUGACAAUGGCAAAGCAGGUUUUUUCAGACCCGGGACAACUUUUUUGAACAAUACAGYAGCACCACCUUCGGCUAAUGUAGUUAUUAACUCUAGAAAAAAUGAAAAAGAAACUGCAAAUGUAAGAGUGKCAAAAUCGGAAAAAGAAAACUUAAAACAGAAACAGAAAACAGAAACUUUAAGGAGUUUAUCUCCGAGAGAAGAUAYGGGCAUCAUUUUUGUAGAGUUUCAUAAGAAAAAAGACCAAGAAUCGCUGGUGUACAGUGCUAAAGUCGAUCUGAAUAAACACAGUCUUAACGACUACGUCCCAAAUACAAGAUUUGAAGAAAUUAAAAUUACUUCAGGGUUUGUUGAUUGGUUAUUAAACAAACACAUUGGACCUAUUCACCGCAUAAGACCAUACAAACUUACUUUUCGAAACCAAGUAUCUGGUUUAGGAAAAAACCUUUUAGCAAGCACUUCCAAUAUGGAGGAAUUUCAAAUAUCAGUUGGAACAUUGUCAAUAAUCAAUGAUGAUGUUUUUAGCGGCGGAAAAGUGAAAUACCUUAAUCUGAGAGAUAACAGAAUUUUUACAAUUGACUCUCAUGCGUUUGACAAUAUGAAAGAGUUGAAGAAAAUUUCUCUCAUCAAUAACCAGCUGAAAGAAUACAACCCGGAUUGGUUUUAUAAUUGUCCCAAACUGGAAACGAUUCUCUUAAGUCACAAUGAAAUAAAAAUUUUGCCACCAUAUGCUUUCAAAAAUUUAAAUCUUAAUCUGCCUUUUAGAAUAUUUUURGAUUACAACGACAUCGUCACUAUUAGUGACAGAACAUUCGUCCAAAAUCCUGCAGCAAGCCUUAGUCCUCAAUAUUUCAACGAUCUGCGUAAAAAUGGAAUGAGAAUUCACUUGAAAGGCAAYCGUUUGAAAUGUSUGACUGAAGAUKUAUCAAAAACUUUUGUCGCCAGGGUGAUUACYAUGAARCAAAAUCCYUUAACGUGUCAAUGUCAGAAGAAAAUUCUUGAGUGGAAGAAAAAGCAUCCCAAAACUAGAAUUUAUCUCGAUUACAGUAGCAACUGUGUCUAUACAGAAGUAUAAUAUUUAUGUAGUUUUCUUCUUAUUAAUAAAUGUAAAAUAAAAAAUUUUAUACGA